UACGUAGGCAGCAAGCGUUGUUCGGAGUUACUGGGCGUAAAGAGUCUGUAGGCGGUGCUCUAAGUUUGGUGUGAAAUCUCCCGCUUAACCGGGAGGGUGCGCCGAAGACUGGGGUGCUGGAGUCUGGGAGAGGAAAGCGGAAUUCCUGGUGUAGCGGUGAAAUGCGUAGAUAUCAGGAGGAACACCGGUGGUGUAGACGGCUUUCUGGACCAGUACUGACGCUGAGAGACGAAAGCGUGGGGAGCAAACAGG
rnacentral:rRNA from 1 species